CUCAUUUUUGAGCUUGAAGAACCAAAAUCCAACCAUGGCCAAUUGUCCUACCAUAACUAGAUGUUGUUUGGACAACUAGGAAAGAGGAUUCAAAGAAAAGAAAGAAGAAAAAUUUGAAGAAAAGGGAGAAGAAAUUCUGCACACAAGUUGAAAAGAAUAUCGGGAAGGAACCCGAGGAAACGAGUCGAGGCUAAGGGACGACUCGCUUGAGAUAAAAGCAAGGAGAAAGCAGCAGAGUGAGCUGCGGAAUUGACAAGAUCUUUUUGAUCCCUUUUUGUACGGGUAUUAUUUUAUACCCUUAUGGUUAUUUUGAUGUAAAUACUGUAAUGUCAUAAGUAUCAAUGUAAAUUGAGCAGUUGUAAAUAAACUAUAAUAAUAUUAUUUUAGAUUUUCUUCUGUAAAUUUAAUAUUUGUACAUAUGGAUUUUCUGCCUUAUGUUUUGUGAAUGGAAUUAUUGAACCUA